rnacentral:lncRNA from 1 species
AUGGAGGCAGGAGGGCCUCCCUGCAGCUUGCUCUUCCCAUGCCAGCCCUGCUCCAUCUACUGGCAAGAAGAACGCGGAGCCUCCGAAAUUCACCCGCUGGGGUGCAGCUGCUCUUGCGGCUUCCCCAGACCAGGUUCCCCCCAUGGCCUCCUUUCAUCUGCCAGCGAGGGCCAGGGGUGGGAAGAGCAGAGGGCGAACAUCGCUUUCUCCCUGGUCACAGGACGAGGAACUGCCCUCCCACGAGCUUCCCUCUGCUUUGGUUUCCAGCGUGUCAUCAAGGUCACAAAGGAGCACAUUAAGUAUUGUGCACACGCUGCACGUUUGCCAUUUCGUCUGCCGACUGAGAAGCUGAUUUCACUGCUUACUUGUGGUCAGUCAAACCCCAGUGAAAAUGCCCUGGAAAUUCCUUCCCAGAGCAGAAUGCUACCAGGGAUGGGGUGGGACGGCAGCACCAGCUCCUGUCCCAGCAAGUGCCCAGGAAACCAAGAUGCAGCAGCAAAAGCAUCCUGUUCUUCCUCCUGUGGUCCUUACAGAUGGCAUCUCUUCCCGCUCUGUGCUAGAGGUGAUCGGCUUGUUCUGGAAGUACAAGAUGAGAUGCAGCGCCUUGCCAUGCAGCUAAACCCUUCCCUGGGCCAGGUGGACUCCAGCGGUAGUUUGGUGGCUUGGCUGGAGCGAAGACGUCCUGCGGCCACCCACCAGCCCUGCGUGGUCUCAGCCCCACAAGCCGUGGAGCAGUGUGGGUCCUCUGCACUUCUGGCAGGACUCCUUGUGUGCCUCCCCAUCACGUCCUGGGCUCUGGGAAGUCUUCUUGAUGUGGGAACAUUGCUAUACAACUGCACAGAGCCAACUGUGUGGUGCUGUGUGGAAGCUAAGAGGUCUUCCUGGGUACCACCUGUCUGUGUGGUACAACCUCCUGCACCGCUCCUGUAUUAUUAUUUUCCAUUAUCUAGGAAAACAACCUUUUCUUCUCCUCCUCUUUACCUCAGAUAA